rnacentral:lncRNA from 1 species
UCCUCCGGCAGCCUCGGGGGAAAAACAGGCUCUCAUGUUUAGCAUCAUGCCUUUCACCUGUGAUCAUCUUCACAAGUUUCUGUGCAGGAAGUAUUCAAACAGAUAAAAGAUCAGUAAUCUACAGUACUAGAGGCUGAAAUUCUUGCCUUCUAUAGCAUUGUUCCAAUUUGCCAGCAUCUGUUAAUGAGGACAUAGUAUAAAGCCACCUGUAAUGUCAGAAGGUCAUUGAGGAGAAGAGGCUGUCAGGGACGCCAGCUCUUCUGCCACUGGUCUUAUGAAUCACAGAUGUCCUGGACCACACAAGGCUUCUGAGAGCAUUGCAGCCACUGUCAAACUGUAUUUCAUCUGGGUGCUGGCAAAAAAAAAGGCAAAGGAGAACUAGCUUGCU